rnacentral:rRNA from 2 species
AUGGCUCGGGAUGAACGCUAGCUACAGGCUUAACACAUGCAAGUCGAGGGGAAACGAUAUUGGAAGCUUGCUUCCGAUAGGCGUCGACCGGCGCACGGGUGAGUAACGCGUAUCCAACCUGCCCAUCACUUGGGGAUAACCUUGCGAAAGUAAGACUAAUACCCAAUGAUAUCUCUAGAAGACAUCUGAAGGAGAUUAAAGAUUUAUCGGUGAUGGAUGGGGAUGCGUCUGAUUAGCUUGUUGGCGGGGUAACGGCCCACCAAGGCGACGAUCAGUAGGGGUUCUGAGAGGAAGGUCCCCCACAUUGGAACUGAGACACGGUCCAAACUCCUACGGGAGGCAGCAGUGAGGAAUAUUGGUCAAUGGACGAGAGUCUGAACCAGCCAAGUAGCGUGCAGAUGACGGCCCUAUGGGUUGUAAACUGCUUUUAUAAGGGAAUAAAGUGAGAGUCGUGACUCUUUUUGCAUGUACCUUAUGAAUGAGGACCGGCUAAUUCCGUGCCAGCAGCCGCGGUAAUACGGAAGGUCCGGGCGUUAUCCGGAUUUAUUGGGUUUAAAGGGAGCGUAGGCCGGAGAUUAAGCGUGUUGUGAAAUGUAGAUGCUCAACAUCUGCACUGCAGCGCGAACUGGUUUCCUUGAGUACGCACAAAGUGGGCGGAAUUCGUGGUGUAGCGGUGAAAUGCUUAGAUAUCACGAAGAACUCCGAUUGCGAAGGCAGCUCACUGGAGCGCAACUGACGCUGAAGCUCGAAAGUGCGGGUAUCGAACAGGAUUAGAUACCCUGGUAGUCCGCACGGUAAACGAUGGAUGCCCGCUGUUGGUCUGAAUAGGUCAGCGGCCAAGCGAAAGCAUUAAGCAUCCCACCUGGGGAGUACGCCGGCAACGGUGCAAACUCAAAUGAAUUGACGGA